AUCUGGAAGGAGUUGGAUUUAUGAGUUAAAGAACCAAUACAAUUGGUGACUCAUAAUAACUUUGCGGAUCACAUUAAAUGUGACAUAUCAUUCAAGUUUCUGACAUAUCAGCUUUAGACGGUAGGGUACUGGCCUACCGUGGCAAUGACGGGUAACGGGGAAUUAGGGUUUGAUUCCGGAGAGGGUGCGUGAGAAACGGAUACCACAUCUAAGGAAGGCAGCAGGCGCGCAAAUUACCCAAUCGUAACACAGGGAGGUAGUGACAAGAAAUAACAAACAGGACUUUUUGGUUUUGUAAGCGGAAUCAGGUAAGUAUCAACCCCUUUUCAAGUAUCAAAAAUUUGGCAAGUUUAGAGCCAGCAGCAUCGGUAAUUCCAGCUUCAAUAGAGUAUAUUAAAGUUGUUGCAGUUAAAAAGCUUGUACAGGGAUCUAUGUUAAUAAUUUAUAUAAAAAACAAUUAUAAAAAUUUAUAUAAUAGUAACAUAAUUCAUAGUAGUAUACACCUUAGUAUCCGAACAUUUACUAUGAGAAAAUUAGAGUGCAUAAAGCUCGCAUCAGCCUCGAAUACUCCAGCACGGAAUAAUAUUAAAGAUUUUUAUCUUUCCCUGUAUUAGGUAAGAUAUGAAUAAUGAUUAAUAGGGACAGUUAGGGGCAUUUGCCUUUUACCGUCAUACCUGUAAGGAUUAGAUCUGUUAAAGACAAGUUACCCGUCAAGCAUACGGCAAGCCAAUACCCUUCCGUCAAAAACGGAAAGGUCAGAAACAGAAUAUAUGUCACAGUUAAAGUCUCCCUAAAGACUACGAGGUGGCCAUUUGUCGAGCAAUGGU
rnacentral:rRNA from 1 species